GGAGUUAUUGUUUGUACGUAGGGAUGUGUGGAUAAAAGGGAGCUGAUUUCUAGAGCCACAGGUUGAAGAUGACAGUAGAUCUUAAGGAACCUCAGUUCUAUCCCGAAAUGUGAAAGCCUUUUUACUCAACCACAAAGAAGUGGUCAGCAGAAAACUGGUCAUCCCAGCCUCUGGGGCCACACACAGCACUCAGGAGGAGCUACUGUUUUCCCUGCCUAUUAACAUGCAGCCUGGGGCCUUGUGGGCUAUUUGAAAAUUAGGACACAAGAAGUCCAAGCAGCACCUGAUAGACUGGGAGCUCCAUGAGGUCCGAGACAACCAGAAGACUCCCAGCUCAGCAGAGACUGGCUAUGGCAAUCAGUAACUAUUUGUUGAAUAGGACAUAAUAGAAGAGCUGAAGAAUUUUAAACAAGUCACCACCAGUCCAGUGGAUUCCUCAAAGCAAACCUGUAAAUCUCGGCAUGAGUUGGAUUUAAGGCAGUACAUUUUCAGCUCCUGAAAAUUUGAACAGUUUCUCAAGAGAACAACUUGAAACAGAAAGGCAAGGAUGUAGAUGUGGUUGUAGAAGGUGAUGUCUAAGGCCACCAAACUGUCCACUGUGAAGAUAAACCGUGCAUGUUUAGUAGGAGGUGGCUC
rnacentral:antisense_RNA from 1 species